CCCAGUAAACGGCGGCCGUAACUAUAACGGUCCUAAGGUAGCGAAAUUCCUUGUCGGGUAAGUUCCGACCUGCACGAAAGGUGUAAUGAUUUGGGCACUGUCUCAACAAUGCACCCGGUGAAAUUGAAAUACCAGUGAAGAUGCUGGUUACCUGCGCCAGGACGGAAAGACCCCAUGGAGCUUUACUCCAGUUUGAUACUGGGAUUCGGCAUGGUAUGUACAGGAUAGGUGGGAGACUGAGAAGGUAUGACGUCAGUUGUACCGGAGUCGCUGUUGGGAUACCACCCUUACCAUGUUGGAUUUCUAACCUGUGGCCGUAAGCCGGUCAGGGGACAAUGUCAGGCGGGGAGUUUGACUGGGGCGGUCGCCUCCGAAAGGGUAUCGGAGGCGCUCAAAGGUUCCCUCAGAAUGGUUGGAAACCAUUCGAAGAGUGCAAAGGCAGAAGGGAGCUUGACUGUGACACCGACGGGUGGAGCAGGUACGAAAGUAGGACUUAGUGAUCCGGUGGUAUAAAGUGGGAUUGCCAUCGCUCAACGGAUAAAAGCUACCCUGGGGAUAACAGGCUUAUCACUCCCAAGAGUUCACAUCGACGGAGUGGUUUGGCACCUCGAUGUCGGCUCAUCGCAUCCUGGAGCUGUAGCAGGUUCCAAGGGUUGGGCUGUUCGCCCAUUAAAGCGGUACGCGAGCUGGGUUCAGA
rnacentral:rRNA from 1 species